ensembl:lncRNA
AUGCAUUCCUCCGGUUGGAGCUCUUACCUGUGGGUGGAGGGGGUUGGUGCAGAUCCUUCAGUGCAGCUCCGUUGCAGAGUCAGCGGAUGGGCGCCUGCUGCUAUGGUCACCGCUCAGUCUCUGACCCGGCGUUCCUGUAGCAUCCCCAAACGGACCGGCAAGUCACAAAGGUUCAACUUCACACAAUCUAAGUUGUGUCUCAGCCUCCGUUUGGACGCAUGUCGGUGUGUCUGCAGGCUCCUCCUUGAAGUUUUCUCCGCCCUGUUCUUCUAUCUCGAUCCUUUGUCCUUUCAUCCAGGUCUUCAUCCCCCUUCUCACUAGAAGCGCAUUGAUGUGGAUUCUGGCUUCCUGACCAAAGAAAAAGGAUAAGAAGAGGGGAUAAAGAGCGGAUGAAGAGAGGAUAACAAGAAAGAGUAAUGAGUUCUGUUGAGAGAAUGAUUGCAGCUCUGUUACAGACUGGACAAAAACACAUAUUAAGUUAAACCUGUAUUUACUGUAAUAUAUGGUGCAGUGUAAAAAUUUACCUCCAGCUGGAGCUCCAGCUAUUAGGAAAUUGACACUUGGGACUUUUUUUGGAGUCAUUAUGUAUAACACAUUUGUAGCAAUUAGAUGAAGCAGUGGUUAAGUGAAUAACUUUGUAUCAGAGGAGGAAUUUUAGCCCGUUCUUUGCAGCAUUGAAGGGAUUAGUGGAUGGUUCAAAGUAACUGCAGACCAAGCUCAGAUCAUAANNNNNNNNNNCCCUUUACACUGUUAAGUAAAGAGGGGGAAUGUGGACUGAUAGUAUUUAAAAACCAUUUUUCCAUCUAUUUUUCUCCUUGACAUUCUGUCAGAUCACAUCUUAAUGUCUCAAACAUUUUUUUUUAGUAAAGUAACUGUUUAUUAAGGUUGUGGAUAAUGACCUAAAAAUAAAGAUGCCUUUGUUAGUUCCAUACAGCUACUGCAAUCCAUUUUUGUGGAAGCAGAAAAGUAGACUUUAGAUCUUGCAAAAAUUCCCAGCAUCUUUAAUUUUGCGAAGAAAAAUCUGAUGCAUAAUGACUUUUGUCUUUCUUUUUCAUUCAGGGCCUUCAAACAUGGAGAACAGAACCUUUAGGUGCACAUGCUCCUGAUAUGGUGUCAGCAUAUUCCAGUAUUACACAUAAAACCAGUGAACCAACCUCUUACAAGACGAUAUGACCUUGCUCUUACCUCUGUCUCAGCUUCUACCUCACAUAGCCUGUCUGGGAACACACACAUGGCCCUCUAACUAGCCUUCAGUGUGAAAGCAAGGAACCGGUUGCCAUGGAAACUGUCGUGUCAGAUAACCUACUUUUGCAAGUGCGAAAGACAUUGGCUGAUGAAAGAGCGAGAGGUGUAGCGUAUAAGUAGAGGUGAUGUGCUGGCGCUGUUCUUCCCUCUUACAUACCUGUAGUUCUGAUAAAUCUAGACUGAUUCAAGUCAUGAAGAUGCAGAACUAAUAAACGUUGGUAAAGGUACUGAUGUAAAUGUGGGUACUGAUAGAAGUGCAUCAGAGUAGAGAAAGAGCUGCAAAAAGAUGAGUGUUAAUCCUGACAAACAUUUCUCAAAGAGUUACAGACACAAUAGGGGCAAAUGAAAAUGAAUAACAAGAAAUGGACUAAAACUAAAACUAAAACUUUACAAAGAAAACAAAAGAAAACUCACGGACAAACGUUGACCUGUCUUGAUAAAAAUCAUGGAUGUACAUUUCAUCUACUCAAUUAACCAGUAGGAAAAAUGUGAUGCAGUAGGAAAUUGCUAUAAUUUCAAAAGUGAAGUUCAUGCUUUUUCCUUCCAAAAAUUCAUUAUCUCAUAAUAUAUGUAAUUUUAUGUAUUACACAAGAACACUGCUUUCUGUUUUGUGACAGAUCAUGCAUGUGUUGUAGAUGUGCAUAGUUAUGGCAUAUUAGUUGAAUCUCAGUCUAAGAGAAACCUCAGUUAUUGGGUAUUUCAGUAAAAAAGGAACUGAGCAGGACAUUAACUAGCUAUUAACAAUUCAAUUUAGUCAGUUAUUUACAUCAAUC